UAGUCCACACCGUAAACGAUGAAUGCCAGUCGUCGGGUAGUAUACUAUUCGGUGACACACCUAACGGAUUAAGCAUUCCGCCUGGGGAGUACGGUCGCAAGAUUAAAACUCAAAGGAAUUGACGGGACCCGCACAAGCGGUGGAGUAUGUGGCUUAAUUCGAUGCAACGCGAAGAACCUUACCUGGGCUUGACAUGCAUUUCUAAAGCCGUGAAAGCGGUGGAGUUUGCUUCGGUAAACAACUUGCACAGGUGCUGCAUGGCUGUCGUCAGCUCGUGUCGUGAGAUGUUGGGUUAAGUCCCGCAACGAGCGCAACCCUUGUCUUUAGUUGCCAUCAUUCAGUUGGGCACUCUAAGGAGACUGCCGGUGACAAACCGGNGGAAGGUGGGGAUGACGUCAAAUCAUCAUGCCCCUUAUGACCUGGGGCUACACACGUGCUACAAUGGAUAGAACAAAGGGCAGCGAAGCCGCGAGGUGAAGC
rnacentral:rRNA from 1 species